CCCGCAUCUCUCUCUUUCGAACAUUUUUUGUCCUCCGACCCCACCCAAAAGUCCGAGGGUGGUGGUUUUUCAAUCUCUGAAAGGGUCUUUCGUUCAUUACCGAUCUUCUAUCAUCGAUCCACGGGUGGAAGAAUCAAUUUUUCUUUACUUCUUCUUCGCUACCUUGGGGGUUUCCUUCUCGCUGGGGCGACCCUCGAACUCAGCCGAACG
rnacentral:lncRNA from 1 species